GGUCUUAUAUUCAACAAUAUGAUAUUAGAAUGCAAUUCUGAUGGUGUAAUCUAUAUACUAAGGCUU
rnacentral:tRNA from 1 species